rnacentral:rRNA from 1 species
UAGGGAAUCUUCCGCAAUGGGCGAAAGCCUGACGGAGCAACGCCGCGUGAGUGAUGAAGGGUUUCGGCUCGUAAAACUCUGUUAUUAGGGAAGAACAAAUGUGUAAGUAACUAUGCACAUCUUGACGGUACCUAAUCAGAAAGCCACGGCUAACUACGUGCCAGCAGCCGCGGUAAUACGUAGGUGGCAAGCGUUAUCCGGAAUUAUUGGGCGUAAAGCGCGCGUAGGCGGUUUUUUAAGUCUGAUGUGAAAGCCCACGGCUCAACCGUGGAGGGUCAUUGGAAACUGGGAAACUUGAGUGCAGAAGAGGAAAGUGGAAUUCCAUGUGUAGCGGUGAAAUGCGCAGAGAUAUGGAGGAACACCAGUGGCGAAGGCGACUUUCUGGUCUGUAACUGACGCUGAUGUGCGAAAGCGUGGGGAUCAAACAGGAUUAGAUACCCUGGUAGUCCACGCCGUAAACGAUGAGUGCUAAGUGUUAGGGGGUUUCCGCCCCUUAGUGCUGCAGCUAACGCAUUAAGCACUCCGCCUGGGGAGUACGACCGCAAGGUUGAAACUCAAAGGAAUUGACGGGGACCCGCACAAGCGGUGGAGCAUGUGGUUUAAUUCGAAGC